rnacentral:rRNA from 1 species
AUUGAACGCUGGCGGCAUGCUUUACACAUGCAAGUCGAACGGUAACAGGCCUUCGGGUGCUGACGAGUGGCGAACGGGUGAGUAAUGCAUCGGAAAGUACCCAGAGGUGGGGGAUAACGCAGCGAAAGCUGUGCUAAUACCGCAUGUGAUCUGCGGAUGAAAUCGGGGGACCGAGCAGCAAUGUUUGGCCUCGCGCCUUUGCACGGCCCGAUGUCGGUUUAGCUAGUUGGUGGGGUAAAGGCCUACCAAGGCGACGAUCGGUAGCUGGUCUGAGAGGACGACGAGCCACACUGGGAGUGAGACACGACACAGACUCCUACGGGAGGCAGCAGUGGGGAAUUUUGGACGAUGGGCGCAAGCCUGAUCCAGCAGUGCCGCGCGCGGGAAGAAGGCCUUCGGGUUGUAAACCGCUUUUGGCAGGAACGAAACGGUGUCCGCUAAUACCGGGCGCUAAUGACGGUACCUGCAGAAUAAGCACCGGCUAACUACGUG